rnacentral:rRNA from 1 species
AGAGUUUGAUCCUGGCUCAGGACGAACGCUGGCGGCGUGCUUAACACAUGCAAGUCGAGCGGUAAGGCCUUUCGGGGUACACGAGCGGCGAACGGGUGAGUAACACGUGGGUGAUCUGCCCUGCACUUCGGGAUAAGCCUGGGAAACUGGGUCUAAUACCGGAUAUGACCUCCUAUCGCAUGGUGGGUGGUGGAAAGAUUUAUCGGUGCAGGAUGGGCCCGCGGCCUAUCAGCUUGUUGGUGGGGUAAUGGCCUACCAAGGCGACGACGGGUAGCCGACCUGAGAGGGUGACCGGCCACACUGGGACUGAGACACGGCCCAGACUCCUACGGGAGGCAGCAGUGGGGAAUAUUGCACAAUGGGCGAAAGCCUGAUGCAGCGACGCCGCGUGAGGGAUGACGGCCUUCGGGUUGUAAACCUCUUUCAGCAGGGACGAAGCGCAAG